GUGCUUUGCUUGUCCUAAUUGGUGAAUGUCUUUGUAAAGUAAUUGAAGGUGUAGCAUUUACACAGCGUCGAGGCGCACUCUCACAAUCCCCUGUCCUUGCCAAUGGUGGUUUUCUGAUUUCAAAGAUUGCAGCAGGACUCUGCGUGGGCUGAGCGUUGUAUAAAAAGGAAAUAUUUUGGCACUGAGCAACUGCUUGGAGAAAGCUAUGAGGAGAAAAUUGACAUCUUUCAGUAUUCGAAUGAGUGAGUCUCGGGCUUGGACAAACUCCCGACCUUUGGAGAUUCGACUUCUAAAAGUGGUCACCACGCUCCCAGAGGAAUCUGGUUGUUGCACUGGCAUGCUGGAGUGAAAGUAACAGUGCCCUUCAUCCGUUGGACUGAUUCCAUUACUACAAUGGUUACUACAAAAGUAUCAAACGGUAGUCAUUUGAUGCUGUUGUGAUGUCAAUUAGAGAUCUCUUCACACACCGACUUAUGAACCCCCUGUCAAGGAGCUUGUGACUUUGCUGCCGGUACUUUGUAAUGAACAUGGCAGGCCAGGUCUUAACCGUCAUCGGAACUUCAAAUCCUGGGAUCCAGUUGAACUAGAAUCUAUGCUGCACGCACGUUCAAAAUUAGCUCGUCUUGUUCCUCUCCAGCAAAUAUUCAGGGUACGGAUCCGGAGGUGGCAGCUGAUCCUAACUAAAACUACUAAGAAAUACCUCAACGCCUGAAAUAGAAUGUUGCAGAAUUACUGCUGGGUCAAAAUCUUAUCAAACGUCGUGGGACCCAGUAUGAGUCCAAUGCGCAGAAUUGAUAUUACCAAGUAGCUUUUGACUCCAGAUUCCGAGAAUAUUUAAGUUUUUUAGGGACUUGAACCGUAAGGCACCCUUCACAUCACCGGAAUCCAUUAUAUCAACUCUCCCUCCCUAUUUUAAUCGGAUCCGGAGGUGGUGCAUUCGUCUUGUUCCUCUCCAGCAAAAAUUCCCUAAGAUUCUAAUGUAUCUGAAUUUUGGUGUGGUCAAGGUUAACUCUAGCUUGCUUCUACUUUCUCAAAGCUUGUGGCAAUCCAAUCCUAAAUGCUUGAAAUAUAGUUUUUUUCCAAAUAGAGCUACUUAGGCUAUUUUGGCAGCGGAUCUUUUCUACUUAAAAAUUCACUAAAAGACUCUAAUUUUUCUUAAAACUAAAUGGAGAUGAGAAGAAGGGAAUCGGAUCCGGAGGUGGUGCUCAAUCAAGUGUGAUGAAGGCACCGUUAUCAUUGCUGGUGGACUUCUGCAAGCAAGUGGACGAGAAAUCUCAGUGAUGCCUCCGUCUUUUCAUGGUUAGAUGUAUACUGCUUUUGAGGAAACGUGAAAAAGAUCAACACCAUUGCAUUUUGCUUUGCAAUUAGCCCUUGUGUUGAAUGUCUCAUACUCUAUGUACUGAAAGACAUUGGAAGUGUCCUUCUUUUGGUUUCCCGCACAUUCUCUUUAGCAACAAAAUUGUAUCAAAGCUGGAAGAAAAGUGCCAUAGAUGAAUAUCAUUGGACAAAGUCUAGAUAAAAUGGAUGAUUUUUGUAGAUGAAAAUUUGGAUGAUCUGCAUGCCAUUUGAUGGUGAUUUUUAUUUAAUUAAAUUUCAUUUAUUAU